GUCCACGCCCUAACGAUGUCGACUAGGUGUUGGGAAGGAGACUUCCUUAGUACCGCAGCUAACGCGUGAAGUCGACCGCCUGGGAGUACGGUCGCAAGAUUAAACUCAAAGGAAUUGACGGGACCCGCACAAGCGGUGGAUGAUGUGGAUUAAUUCGAUGCAACGCGAAACCUUACCUACCCUUGACAUGUACGGAAGCCCGAUGAGAGUUGGGUGUGCCCCGAAAGGGAGCCGUAACACAGGUGCUGCAUGGCUGUCGU
rnacentral:rRNA from 1 species